UCAAAGUUGGCAGAAAGAAAAUUUGGAAAAUCUUCUGAAAGUUGCAAUUGUUGAAAUUGCAAGUCUUGUUUAUGUCACCAAUGACAUCAAGACUCACCAUUUCUGUACUAUAAAAGGAGCUCAUUAGCUCCAUGGAAAUACACCCAAGGCAGAGAGAAAAAUAAUGUAGAGCGGUGAGGUAUUUCAGUCUGUGAUAAAAAAUUAGUUUGUGAAUAGAAAAAUAGAGUGAGCAAUAUUUUUUGUAGGGUGUGGUAGUCACUUUGACUACGGUAUAAAAAUCUUUACUAGGUGUUUAGUAAGGUGUGGUAGUUACUUUGACUACGGUAUAAAAACUCCUUACUAGGUGUUUUUGUAAGUUGGGAGUCAAAAGAGGAUAUUUCUUUUGAGUGUUUAGUAGUUAUUUUGUGUCUUGUACUGUGACUACGGUGUAAAAUCCUUACUAUAGUAAUAUUAGUUACUCCUCUUGGUCCGUGGUUUUUUCCCUUAUUUAGAAGGGUUUCCACAUAAAAAUUUUGGUGUCAUUAUCGCUCUUAUCAUUCUUGUUGUUUAACCGUAUUAUUGUUGUCAUAUUUAUUGAUUUUACCGCAAUAUCGUGGCGGGUUUUAUUUUCAACAACUGGUAUUAUUGUUGGGAAGCAAAACAAUUCUACAUCGGAGAAAUAGAGGAAACAUGUCCUUUAUUUAAAGUCUCGCACAACUCCAUUAGUAUGAAACCUUUUUGUUAGGUGCCCAAGAAUAAAUCCGUGAGGGCUUGGCCCAAAGCGGACAAUAUCAUACUAGUGCGGAGUUUUGAUGAAGUUACACGCGGUUCCAACAAUUGGUAUCAAAGCCAGUUGUUCCGUUGUAGUGGGAAAAUUUACCCGUUUUUCCCAACAAGUGGUAUCAAAGACAGUUAUUCCAUUGUAGUGGAAGAAUUUAUUCGAUUUUCUCAACAAGUGGUAUCAAAAACCAAGUUCAGAUGUGUCGGAGUAGUGGACUGCAUUUUGUGAGAGGUUCCAGGUGUGACAACAAGAUGGUUAGCCAUGAUAACGGCGGUACAGAUCUGUUUGGCAGAUCAUGUAAAGUCUCCUAGUAGUUGGAGAUUGCAGGUAGUGUCUUUUGUCGAAAGUCUUCCUGACAAGUGGUGGUCAGGCGGCAUGUCCCACUAUUUGGCAGUAGCGGUACAAGAUGAUUAGCCUGUGAGAAGUUCUCAUUGUGACAACAAGGUUGCAGAUCUGUUUGGCAGAUCGGUGGUAUAAGAUAUUUGGUAGAUAUGUUUGACAGAUCGAUGGUACAAGAUAUUUGACAGAUCUAUUUGGCAGAUCAGCGGUACAUGAUAUUUGACAGAUCUGUUUGGAAGAUUGGCAGUACAAGAAUGUUUGGCAGAUCUGUUUGGCAGAUCGGCGGUACAAUAUGUUUGGCAGAUCUGUUUGGCAGAUCAGCGGUAUAAUAAUGUUUGGUAGAUCUGUUGGAAGAUCGACGAUACAAGAUGUUUGGCAGAUUAGCGGUACAAGAAUGUUUAGCAGAUCUGUUUGGCAGAUCGGUAGUACAAGAAUGUUUGACAGAUUUGUUUGGUAGAUCGACGGUACAAGAAUGUUUGGCAGAUCUAUUUAGCAAAUCAGUGGUACAAGAUGUUUUUCAGAUCUGUUUGGCAGAUUAUAUGAAGUAACCUAUGAUGUCUUAUGUUGAAAGUAUUCUUGACAAAUGGUGGUAACGGUGGUACGAGAUGGUUAGCGAGAUCAAAUGAAUUAUCGCUGAAAAGGAGGUCACAUGUGGUGUUGUCUUAUUUUGAGGGAGAGAAUGUUGCUCUAUUAUUCUUCAUGCAGUUGGUGUUGUCAGCAAGUUUUUCCUGAAAAUUCAGGAAAGGAGCAUUGGAAAGCAGUCAAAUGAUAUUGAGGUACCUAAGAAAAACCUCGGAAGACUGUUUAUAUUUUGGAGGAUAUGAUCCAAUCUGGAAGGGCCAUACAGAUACUGAUAUAGCGGGUGACCUUGAUAUUAGAAAAUCUACUAUUGGAUUGUUAUUUAAAUUUUUUAGGAGAAGCUAUAUCAUGGCAGUCGAAGUUGCAGAAGUGUGUCGCACUAUCUACAACUGAAGCUAAGUAUAUUGCGGAUACUGAAGCUAAGCAAGGAAUUGAUAUGACUCAAGCGGUUCCUUCAAGAACGAAUGAAAAAUUCUGGAGAUUAUGCUGACAAAGGUGGUGCCAAAAGUCAAGUUUUAAUUGUGCAAAAAACUUUUGGGCAUGAGUUCUCCCUGCGAAGAAUGAAGAUACCUCCUUCAGAUGUAUGGAUCUGGAGGGGAAGAUUUGUUGGGGUCCAGCCCCAUGAAAAUUUUUUCUUGGUAAAACUUUGCUGCAUGCAGCUUUCAAAGUUGGUAGAAAGUAAAUUUAGAAAAUCUUCUCAAAGCUGCAAUUGUUGAAAUUGCAAGUCUUGUUUAUGGCAUCAAUGACAUCAAGACUCACCAUUUCUGUACUAUAAAAGGAGCUCAUUAGCUCCAUGAAAAUACACCCAAGACAGAGAGAAAAAUAAUGGAGAGCGGUGAGGUAUUUCAGUUUGUGAUAAAAAAUUAGUCUGUGAAAAAAAAAAAAUAGAGUGAGUAAUAUUUUUAGUAAGGUGUGGUAGUCACUUUAACUACGGUAUAAAAAAUCCUUACUUGGUGUUUUAGUAAGGUGUGGUAGUCACUUUGACUACGGUAUAAAAAUUCCUUACUAGGUGUUUUUGUAAGUUGAGAGUCAAAAGAGGAUAUUUCUUUUGAGUGUUUAGUAGUUAUUUUGUGUCUUGUACUGUGAGUACGGUGUAAAAUCCUUACUAUAGUAAUAUUAGUUGCUCCUCUUGGUCCGUGGUUUUUUUCCUUAUUUAGAAGGGUUUCCACGUAAAAAUCUUUGUGUCAUUAUCGCUCCGUAUUAUUGUUGUCAUAUUUAUUGCUUUUACCACAAUAUCGUGGCGGGUUUUAUUUUCAACAACUGGUAUUAUUUUUGGGAAGCAAAGCAAUUCUACACCCGAGAAAUAGAGGAAACAUGUCCUUUAUUUAAAGUCUCACACAACUCCAUUAGUAUGAGGCCUUUUUGUUAGGUGCCCAAGAAUAAAUCCGUGAGGACUUGGUCCAAAGCGGACAAUAUCAUACUAAUGUGGAGUUUCGAUGAAGUUACACGCGAUUCCAACAAUUGGUAUCAAAGCCAGUUGUUUCGUUGUAGUGGGAAAAUUUAUCCGUUUUUCCUAACAAGUGGUAUCAAAGCCAGUUAUUCCGUUGUAGUGAAAAAAUUUAUCCGAUUUUCCCAAUAGGAUGAAAUGGAGGCUUGCCUUCAGUGGCAGAUCUAGAAUUUUUGUUCGGGGGGGUCGAUAUAUAAAGAAGUAAGCGUAUAAAAAUUACAUUAUAAAAGCAAAGUAGAUACUCGCUAAACUUUAACCUGCCUUAUCAUUCUCUUUUAACAUUUCUUCUUAGUUUUGUUUUGCGAGCCCUUCUUAUAAAAUAUUAUGCUUUUUUCUUACUUUAACUUUUCACUUUUAUUUUAUUUUUAAAUUUUAUUUUUCAAAUUUAACUCCCCUAUAAAAAAAAUAAGGUUCUUAAAAAUGUAUAAGCAUUGAAUUAUUAUAUUAUAAUAUAUAUUUAGUACUUCAUAAAAAAUAAAAAUUAUUGAACAACUUCAAUAUUGAUAUGUUGAAUGUAAAAUAUAAUUCAAAAAAACGAACUAUAUAAUUCGAUAAAAUAAUCUGAAAGAGUUGAGAAAUCCAAUUUUUUUAUAUACUAUGUAAAACUAGUCAAAUAUAUAAAACUAUUUUGAACAAACGUGGCAUAAAACGUAUAAAAAGAGAUAUGCAUAAUAUGUUAGUAUUGAGAGCAUUAAAAAAGAUUAUAUUGAAAUAUUUUUCAUUCCAACUAUGUAAAAUUUUUGGACAAAUUAUUUUAGACCCAAUAUUUAUACUUGAAAAAUAGAAAAUAAGUGAGUUUUAAAUAAAUAAUACAUACACACAAAUAAAUUAAAUGGGCUAACUAAUUUGUGUUAAUCAGGCCCAAUUGCCAAUUAGAGUGAAAAAGGUCAAAGCCUUGUUCAUUAAAUAGAAAAAGG
rnacentral:lncRNA from 1 species